GGCUUUGACAAUGAGUGGUACAAGCCGGACACCGACGGCGCACCGCACAGCAGCCGCCUGUAUGUGGAGGGAGACAGUCUGGAUGAGAACGCCUUCACCGGCGACAGUCUGACCCUGUCGGCCCAGCAGCAGCAGGACCUGUUCACCCACCAGCACGGGUCGCCGUCCCGUUCCUCGGUCAACUUCAACAGGCCGGACGCCGGGCCCAAGACCACCAACGACCUGAAUCGGUACCAGCAGAACAUCCUCAGCCAGAGCGGCCGCCACGCCCCGCGCGGCAAGCACGUGGAGACCACCGAGUUGUGACGCACCCCGUGGCGGCCACGUGCCGGCCACGUGGCGGGCGCGACGCGGAGCGAGGACUCGACGGAUGCGUGAUGUGACGUCGCUCUUACGUCACGUAUCCGUGACGUCACGGGCUCGAGGCGUAUAAUGUAUCUUAGUGUCUCUUGCGUGUUUACAGACAUUUGAUCGCAUUCCCGUGUCCAACCGGUGUACUCAUGUGAAUGUACGUGACUAUGUCCCCAUGUGCCGAUGGCGUUGGCGCCGGCCAGGUCAGCCUACUUACCCACUGCGCUAACCGGGCGUGCACGGCCACAGUACGGUCGUCAACCGUGCUCGCCAACUGUACUCGACUGGCGUGGCAGCGAGAGCCGCACCGAUCGAGGGAAAUAUACCAGUGACGUCACUCGUUGGCGCCAGUGAUGUCACUGCCUCCGUUCGGCCGUGAGCGCCCUGUCUGUAAAUCGGUCUGACUGCAUGUCUGCGUGUAUGUGUGGGGGCCUGCUGGUGCCCGGUUGUGAGGAUGCCUCGUACGGCCAGCCGGGCCGCCGCUUCUCGGCGCACGGUCACUGCCGCCGCGCUUAAUGAGACCAACAUCGAAGCGAAUA